CUACGUACGUUUUCGUCAGUCGGGCCUUCAACUCCGAACCGCGUAGAACGAAUCAACCGACGCGCUGCGUGAGAUGAAACAAGUAGAUCGGCGAUAAAUUUAUAUCCGUUCGUAAUAAAUUCGGGGAAAAAAGAGAAACGUGAAACAGGCAAAAACGAUCCAUUACUUGAUGACGUCCCGAAAAAAGUCACCGAUCGACGGUGUCGUUCACCUUCGUAUGUGUAAUUAAUCGCGAAAUUUAAUCGAGUACCGAAUUUAUACCAACGGCAGUACGAUCGAUCUCCCUGCGGGUUAACGAUCACCGACUACCAAAGAUGAUGCGGAAAAUCGCACGUCAAGAGAAACGAGGAACGAGAAGAAGAGCACGUUCCGAGAGAGAAGAAGAAUAAUAAGGAGGAUAUCAUUUUUCUCGUGGAGUUUCAAAGCAUGAGAAGAGACUGUUCUUUACUCGGCAUUACUAGUUCGUACCGAUAAAUCGAGAAAGAUAAAGGAAAAAAAAGAAAAAGGAAAAAGAAAAGAAAAGAAAACAGAAAGAAAAAGUAAGAAAAAUGAGGAUAACGAUUUGGCUGAGACAGUUCUUGAUCGAUCGAUUUACUUCUACUUUAAGCUACCCUUAAUUUUCCUAAUAAUAGCGUUUUCUUGGGUAUAUAUAUAUAUAUACAUAUAUGGAUGUGCAUGUAUACAUCUAUAUAUUGUACACAUAUGUACAGAAAAAGUGAGAAAGAAGGAGAGAGAGAGAAAGGAAAAUAUAAGAUCCAAUACGUUUCGACGACGAUCUUCUUUGAAACUCCAUAAAAGGAUGCAAAUUAAAGAUUCCUUUCAGUCUCCCCGAAUCUUGAAAUUGUGCAUUCGAAAGGGUAAAGAGAAACGGGAAAGAUAAAGACGAGAUGGAGUAGGAUGUGUGAGGGAACAGAAUAAUCCUCGAAAGUGGACCGCGAGAUAACGGUGCUUUGGAUUGAAGAAGAAGAUAUUGGAUCGCGGUAUCGAAAUAAAUCUCUCGAGGCAAAGUUCGAUGGAGAGUUUCAAAAGCUGAGAGAGAGAAAGAGAGACAAAAGAGGAAGAUAUAAGAAUAGAAAGAGAAAAAAGAAAGGAAGGAAGGAAGGAAGGAAGGAAAGAAAAAAGAAAGAGAAAGGAUAACAGUGUCAACAAAGAAGAAACGAAUCGAAAGGGAUGACUUUUUAAGGUUAAUCCUCCUGGAAAAGAGAUAGAAAGAAAGAAAGAGGAUACGAAAAGUACAUCGACGAAUCUAGCGUGGCGCUAGAAAAAAAGUGGUCCUGUGAGUGUUGGAAGUGAGAAAUCGAGGACAACGCUCUGGAUACGUGCGAAGACGAAUGCCACGGAGAUAAAGAGGACAUGAGAAGAAUGGCUAACGUUGAUCUCUGAAUCUUGUUAUCUUCGAACUAAUAAGAAAAAAGUAAAGAAGAGGAGAAGAAGAAGAAGAAGAAGAAAAGAAAGAACAACAAGUAGAAGAAGGAUCAAGCAAGUGUUAAAAAUACGAGUGAAGAAGAAAAGUACAUUUUUAUAUUAGUUUUUUUCGAAGGAUGAUUUCGUAAUUUGUGAUUUUUUGUUUCGUUUUUUGGAAGAAAGAAAGGAUAAAAAAGAAGAAAUAGUGCAAGGAAAGAAGGAUAAAAGAGAUUAUUUUCUUGGAAGAAAAAGAAGUAGAAGAGAAGAAAGAGAGAAAGAGAGAGAGAGCUGGUGAGUCGACGGUGAUGGCAUGAGGACUUUAGUAAGGACGGACUGUGGGUCCAGCGAGGAGGAGGAUGAGGAUGGUGGUGGGCGUGAUGGUUCUGGGUCAGCUCCUGACGAGGAUCCUGCUCGCAGCUCACGCUGGAGACCGACUUGCAGCCGCUCGAAGGAUACUCAGGGAUGUUCCGCUAAUCGACGGGCACAACGACUUACCCUGGAAUAUACGCAAGUUCCUAAAGAAUCAGCUACGAGGAUUCAGAUUUGAUGAUCUCAGUGACAUCCGUCCUUGGUCGGGCAACGCCUGGAGUCAUACAGAUCUAAGGAGAUUGAGAAAGGGGAUGGUCGCCGCUCAGUUUUGGUCAGCGUACACGCCCUGUCCAUCCCAAUAUCACGACUCCGUUCAACUCGCUUUGGAACAGAUUGACGUGAUUCGUCGGUUGGUCAACAAACAUCCCGAAAGUAUGAUCCUCGUUACGACGGCCGAAGGGAUCGAGAGAGCACACAAGGAGGGUAGAUUAGCGAGUCUUAUAGGGGUCGAAGGGGGACACGCCAUCGGCACGAGUUUGGCGGUCCUGAGGAUGCUCUACGAGCUCGGUGCCAGAUAUCUAACGUUAACUCACACGUGCCAUACGCCUUGGGCAGACUGCAGCACGGCGGAUGAACCCGGUCAAGUGCCUCACGUCGGUGGUCUCUCCAACUUCGGUAAGAGCAUCGUACUCGAGAUGAAUCGACUGGGGAUGAUGGUGGAUCUAUCGCACGUUUCGGUACCCACCAUGCUGGACGCAAUGGCAAGUUCGAAAGCGCCGGUCAUUUUCAGCCAUAGCAGCGCUCACGCUCUCUGCAAUUCCUCGCGAAAUGUGCCUGAUCACGCGCUAAAACAUUUGGCGCGGACCGGUGGUAUAGUUAUGGUAUCCUUCUACCCCCCUUUUAUAAGCUGCAGCGAGACGUCGACUUUGGAAGAUGUCGUUGCACACAUUAACCACAUUCGUAAAGUCGCCGGUGUGGAUCACAUUGGAAUCGGAGCCGGCUACGACGGCAUUAAUUUAAAAACGACACGUUGAUCUUUGCGGGUAGAAUAUCAACAUUUCACGACGACACUAAAUCCUUACGAAGCACGUGUAAAGCUUUCUUCGUAAGACGAUUGCUGCUGCAAACACUUGCAAAAAUCAACCUAAACGAUCUUCUUAUAUGUAUGUAUGUAUGUAUGUAUGUAUGUAUAUACGUAUGUAUAUAUGUACAUACGUAAAUAUACAGUUUGAUGAUCAAACGAUAGCUUGAGAUUCUGUAAGCGUCGAACACGUUUGUCGUACGUUCGCAUACUUACCACGUCUUUUGAUCGUAUCGUACAUAUAUAUAAACGUAACACUGGUUACGUGUGAAUGCUUUACAAUAGUAAGACGUUUGCUCUAACAUUCUACAAUUUAAAGUUCAAUGUUAAUUCUGGAUAGAGAAGUAUCCUAUCAAGAUUAUGGAGAAACCAAAAUUUCCAUUUUAAUCCUUUUUAAAUUCCUUUUCUCAAUAUAAGUUUCAUUUUAUCAUUUUGGUAAGUAAAUAAUAAAGUUUAUAUAAUUUAUUACGAUUUUAAUUUAGUAUGAAUUUUUCGUAUGAAUUUAAUUCGCCAUUUGAAUUUAAAAGGGCCGACAAAAAAAGAUCCGAUCAUCGUGAAAAAUAUAGUUCCCAAUUUGUUUCUGCAUACUUCUGCAUACUUAUUAACGAGCGCUCGUAACAAAAAUACUAUAAUACGAAUGAAUUCAAAAGUACGCUCGUAGCUUGAUAAUCGCGUUAACAGGAUAUGAUACGUUCGUAGAAUAAAAAGAGACAAAGAGAAAAAUUAUGGAUAUACGAAAUGAGAAUCUCUCUCUCUCUUUUUUGCUGAAAAAAAAUAUUAUAAAAAAAAAAAGAAAAAAAGAAGAGAGAGGAAAUAACGAAAAAAAAAAGAACGUGAAGUAGGUGGAAGGUAAAGCCCACGUGCUCUAUUAUUGCUUUUCGUUGUGUGAAAACGUCGUAAUUUCAAAUAUUUCUACGCACGGUUUUAUUUCGUCGAGCUACCGGGCCGGACACGCUACGAAUUUCAAUGGGAAUCGGAAAGGAAAAGCAAGAGAGCUCAUGGAAAAAUUCACGACAGAGAGAAAGAGAAAGAGAUGGAGGGGGAAGGAGUAAAACAAAGGGAUAUACGAAAGAGAAAAGAACAGAAAAGAAAAGAAAAGAGAAAAAAGAAAAAGAGGGUGGGUUGGUUAUGUGCCGUACGUGACACUAUUUCGUUUCCUCUACCCCAUCGUGCCACGACUUAUCGUUCCUCGUGUAGUUUGUCAAAUCAAGAAGCUCGCACAUUUCUGUUUACUCUUCCCCGAAGCGAGUUAAAAGCGUGGAACAGUUUUAAAACGGAGGAAUCGAACGCGAAAACGACUAUAUAGAAGGGUAUGUGUCGAGUCCUCCGGGCGGUAACGCUUUUCACCCUUUUGUUGUUGCGAUAGGUAUCGGGAUAUUCGAUUGAAAGGGUACGAAAAAUUCGGAAAAGCUGAAUGACGGGAAAAAUAGAGAAUGACAAGCUCGAAGAGCAACAAAGUUUGUCGAUGUUGUUUUCUAUUGAGGCACAAGAGUAACAGGAAAAAGGAUAGAAAUGUAAAAGAAAGAAAUAGAAAAAAAGAAUAAAAGAAGGACGGGAAGAAAGGAAGGAAGGAAGGAAGGAAAGAGGGAAAGAAGAAAGAGAAAAAGAAAGAGACGGAAAAAUAAUACGAAAGAAACGUUGUUUUAACAAUAAUAAAAAAUAAUAGAAACGGAAACGUUCUCCUAUGUUACCCGAUCGUAUAGUUUUUCGUUUAGAUAUAGCUAUAUCGGUAUUCAUGAUUUUAAUACAUUUUUUAAACGAAUGAACGAACGAGCUUUCGAAAACGCUAUAUAGAACUAUCACAAAGGAUGUAUACGAUGUUAAACGAUUAUUCUCUCACAGGCCACAGGCGUAUAGAUGGAUUUCACUUUGACGUAUUUCACUUUGCAUCGUCGAAUUUCUAUACCUUCUUUUCGUAAUAAUAAAAAAAAAAGUAAAAAAGAAUAAAACAAAAAAAUAAAAAAAAUAAAAAAAAAGGUACGAACUGUGUGAAUGGAGGGAUGCUUCAAAAAGGGUGACGACCACGAUUGGUUCGGUAGCGACUUUAUUGCACGUUAUUUACGGUCAAUGGGACAAAUGUUUCUGUCAGAGAUAAAACUGAAUAUCCGACAAGAUUUUAAAGCACGUAUGAAACGUUGCGGUUUAUUCAUUAUCGCUUUCGCAUUAAUAGUAUUUAUGUAUGUACAUCGGUGAUUAUUAAUGAACGUUAUUACCGAAAAAUUGUUGUUAAAAAGAUGAUCUCUUUUUAUUUAAUUUAUAGGAAAACGUAAAACUGAACGUGUUCAUAAAAAUGUAUUGUAAUGAAUUUUUAAAUAAUCCUUAUUGGAAAAAGAAAAUUACAAGAAACUCUUGCCCUUUAAAAUAAUUUUUCUUUCUUUUUUUUUAAGAAAAAUUCUCUCGUGUAAAUAAAAAAUAUUUACAUUAAUAUACUAACCUAUAUAAUUUCUAAAUUCAGAAGGAGCAGCGACCUACAUAAGUUCUUGGAAUUUAUGUCGGUCACGCGACGAAAACCAUUUUUUGUCUCUACUACAGCACCCAUUACUACUACCAACAGGUGUACUACUACUAUACGAAAUAUGAAUGAAAAUAUUUCAAAGGCAAUAUCCUCGCAAGCGAAAGUCAUAGAGAGAGUCUAAACAAAGAACGUUUUAAAGAAGAAAGCUCAGUCUUUUUCUUCCACCUACGCUGACAACGUCGACGUAAUAAAAAUAAUUUCUUUCGAACCUAUGAGUUAUCAACGAUUAAAUGCAAUUUACGAACGAAACAAGGUAUUAAAGAAAAAAGAAAGAAAAAAAAGGAAGAAGAAAAGGUACAAAAUAUGUAAAAAGUUCGAAAAACUUGUUUCAGUUUGUAAAGCACUUGUCGCUUUAUCUCACAUUUCCGCGGAAAAUGUCGAAAAACGUCGGAUUUACCUAUAUGAGCGCUCGAACCGAUAAUUUUCAUGCAGGACGAAACGGACUUUUUUGCGAGACUGAAACUUUCAAAACCGAGGAACGUUUUCAUUAAUCCUACUCUUCUUUUUUUAUUCUUUCCUCUCUCUCUUUCUCUCUCUAACACGCAAAACGAUAGUACUUUCCUUCUUCACCGCACAUACACGUGCGAGCUUUUUAAAAUCCGAGACAUGAAUAUCGAAUGUCCUCGAUCUUGAGAAAAGAAGACGAAACGAUAACAAUCAUAUAGGACAGAUAAGAGAUAGAAAAAGUGGGAAGAAAGAGAGAGAGAGAGAGAAGAAAAAGAGGUAGAGGAUAUUUCGUGCCGAGAAUGUGUCCCAUGGGAAUCUCAAUGGAGAUUUGGCUACGAGACGAAAACAAUGCAUAGUCUGGCGUUUCUCAUCUCGUUCUACAUAUUUUGCGAAAGGAAUGGAACUUUAAUAUCGGUUCUGACGUUUUUCCUCGGUUAAAAUGAAACACCUGGCGAUAGAAACAUUACACGAAUAAUGUAGACUCCGUAGUUAGACAAGAGAUAUAGGUGUAUUCACAUAACAUAUGGGUUUUAAUAACAUACGAUAUAAACAAACGAAAAGAUUUACUCGAUCGAUCAGUAUUUCGAUUACUCGAUAAUGCAACAAGUGCAAUGAAUACAACUUAGUACCUUCUUAAGAAAGAAAAUUUCAUCACUUAAAUAACUAUUGAAACGAUGAAAGCUUGGGAAGCAUUGAAAGGCUGCAUUUAAUUAUUUCAAGCAACGAAAUUGGAUCGUCAGGUAAAAAGAAAAGAAGGCAAGGAGAUGAAGAAAAAAAAAGAAAAAAGAAGAGGCGAAAGGAAAAAGACCAAAAGAAAAAAAAGGUGGUUUUACGCUGGCUAGGUUGGCCAAUAAGCUUUUACGUGAGAUUAAAAUUCAUAUUACUAUACGUAGAAAGAAAGAGAAAGAGAAAGAGAAAGAUAGAGAGAGAGAGGGAGAGGGAGAGAGAGAGAGUGAGGGAAAGGCUUCAACCGCAUCCUAUUCGGCUCGCUUACGCUUAAAACGACACCGGCAGGUCUCGAAGACGUGAGCAAAUACCCAGAGUUAUUCGCGGAAUUGUUAGUGCGCGGGUGGUCAGAGAGAGAUAUCCAGAAACUCGCUGGACUGAAUCUCAUCCGAGUCUUCAAGGCGGUCGAAC